AAUGUUUGUUUGAAGACGUAUCUACGUGAAGGAACAGAAAAUUACCUGACUUACUAAAGCAAGAGUGAACUCCGAAAAAUCAAGAGUGAACUCCGAAAAAUGUUAGUACAAGUCACAGUGAUUCAAUAUUUCAAAACAGAUUUGUUCAACGGCAUAAU